rnacentral:rRNA from 1 species
UACGUAGGAGACGAGCUUUGUCCGGAGUUAUUGGGUUUAAAGGGUGCGUAGGCGGACUUAUAAGUCAGUGGUGAAAUCUCGUUGCUUAACAACGAACGUGCCAUUGAUACUGUAGGUCUUGAGUACAGAUGCCGUUGGCGGAAUGUGUCAUGUAGCGGUGAAAUGCAUAGAUAUGACACAGAACACCGAUUGCGAAGGCAGCUGACGAAACUGUAACUGACGCUGAGGCACGAAAGCGUGGGGAUCAAACAGG